rnacentral:sRNA from 1 species
UUGGUGGCUCUGGGUCUGAAAUAUUCCUGUCAUCCAUAAAAUUUGUUCAAUGGACAUCUCUUCCUAUGCCAUCCCCCUAAUCUACCUCACCUCUGUUGUCAAGGACCACCUCUAGUGAAAGGUGAGGGGAUAGUUCAGAUCUCCAUUGCCCAUUCAUAUCCUGGCCUCU